GAGGAGAAGGCCAUCACCGUCUGCGUGCGCCUGCGGCCCCUCAGCAGGAAAGAAGCUCUUGGAGGGGCUAUGCAAGAUCACUGGAAAACUGACAAUAAUACUAUUUAUCAAGUUGAUGGAAGUAUAUCCUUCAAUUUUGAUCGUGUCUUUCUCAAUAAUGAAUCGACUGAAAAUGUGUAUGAAGAAAUAGCAGUACCAAUCAUAGACUCUGCCAUGC